GAUCCGUGCGGAUGGUGCGCAUGGUGAAUUGGUUGACGGAUGGUGGAAUCACUUUCACCAUCCGUCAACCAAUUCACCAUGCGCACCAUCCGCA
rnacentral:miRNA from 1 species